rnacentral:rRNA from 1 species
UAGCUACAGGCUUAACACAUGCAAGUCGAGGGGUAGCAGGGUAGCAAUACCGCUGACGACCGGCGCACGGGUGAGUAACACGUAUCCAACCUUCCCAUAACUCGGGGAUAGCCUUUCGAAAGAAAGAUUAAUACCCGAUAGUACUUUUUCAAGGCAUCUUGAGAAAGUUAAAGAUUUAUUGGUUAUGGAUGGGGAUGCGUUCCAUUAGAUAGUUGGUGAGGUAACGGCUCACCAAGUCUUCGAUGGAUAGGGGUUCUGAGAGGAAGGUCCCCCACAUUGGUACUGAGACACGGACCAAACUCCUACGGGAGGCAGCAGUGAGGAAUAUUGGUCAAUGGGCGAGAGCCUGAACCAGCCAAGUAGCGUGAAGGAUGACGG